rnacentral:rRNA from 1 species
GACGUAGGGUGCGAGCGUUGUCCGGAUUUAUUGGGCGUAAAGAGCUCGUAGGCGGCUUGUCGCGUCGACCGUGAAAACUUGGGGCUCAACCCCAAGCCUGCGGUCGAUACGGGCAGGCUAGAGUCCGGUAGGGGAGCGUGGAAUUCCUGGUGUAGCGGUGAAAUGCGCAGAUAUCAGGAGGAACACCAGCGGCGAAGGCGGCGCUCUGGGCCGGUACUGACGCUGAGGAGCGAAAGCGUGGGGAGCAAACAGG